AAUGAACGCUGGCGGCAGGCCUAACACAUGCAAGUCGAACGGGCCCUUCGGGGCUAGUGGCGGACGGGUGAGUAACGCGUGGGAACAUACCCUUUGGUACGGAAUAGCCUCGGGAAACUGAGAGUAAUACCGUAUGUGCUCGAAAGAGGAAAGAUUUAUCGCCAAAGGAUUGGCCCGCGUUGGAUUAGGUAGUUGGUGGGGUAAUGGCCUACCAAGCCGACGAUCCAUAGCUGGUUUGAGAGGAUGAUCAGCCACACUGGGACUGAGACACGGCCCAGACUCCUACGGGAGGCAGCAGUGGGGAAUCUUAGACAAUGGGGGCAACCCUGAUCUAGCCAUGCCGCGUGAGUGAUGAAGGCCUUAGGGUUGUAAAGCUCUUUCAGUGGGGGAAGAUAAUGACGGUACCCACAGAAGAAGCCCCCGGCUAAACUCCGUGCCAGCAGCCG
rnacentral:rRNA from 1 species